UACGUAGGCAGCGAGCGUUGUUCGGAAUUACUGGGCGUAAAGAGUGUGUAGGCGGUGCUCUAAGUUCGGUGUGAAAUCUCCUGGCUUAACUGGGAGGGUGCGCCGGAAACUGGGAUGCUCGAGCGUGGGAGAGGAAAGCGGAAUUCCUGGUGUAGCGGUGAAAUGCGUAGAUAUCAGGAGGAACACCUGUGGUGUAGACAGCUUUCUGGACCAUUGCUGACGCUGAGACACGAAAGCGUGGGUAGCAAACAGG
rnacentral:rRNA from 1 species